UACGUAGGGGGCGAGCGUUGUCCGGAAUUACUGGGCGUAAAGCGCGCGCAGGCGGUCGGUCGCGUCGGUCGUGAAAGGUCCCGGCUCAACCGGGAAGGGUCGACCGAGACGGGCUGACUGGAGGGUGUCAGAGGGGGGUGGAAUUCCGGGUGGAGCAGUGAAAUGCGUAGAGACCCGGAGGAACACCGGCGGCGAAGGCGGCCCCCUGGGGCACACCUGACGCUCAGGCGCGAAGGCCAGGGGAGCGAACGGG
rnacentral:misc_RNA from 1 species